GACGUAGGGGGCGAGCGUUGUCCGGAUUUAUUGGGCGUAAAGAGCUCGUAGGCGGUUCAGUAAGUCAGGUGUGAAAUCUUUGGGCUUAACCCAAAGCGUGCACUUGAUACUGCUGUGACUUGAGUUCGGUAGGGGAGUGGGGAAUUCCUAGUGUAGCGGUGAAAUGCGCAGAUAUUAGGAGGAACACCGGUGGCGAAGGCGCCACUCUGGGCCGAAACUGACGCUGAGGAGCGAAAGCGUGGGUAGCAAACAGG
rnacentral:rRNA from 1 species